AUUGAACGCUGGCGGCAGGCUUAACACAUGCAAGUCGAACGAGCGGCGGACGGGUGAGUAAUGUCUGGGAAACUGCCUGAUGGAGGGGGAUAACUACUGGAAACGGUAGCUACUACCGCAUACCACAGGUUGGGCCCACGGGGGUUUAGGUAGUUGGUGGGGUAAUGGCCUACCAAGCCGACGAUCGCUAGCUGGUCUGAGAGGAUGACCAGCCACACCGGGACGGAGACACGGCCCGGACUCCUACGGGAGGCAGCAGUGGGGAAUAUUGCGCAAUGGGGGCAACCCUGACGCAGCCAUGCCGCGUGAAUGAAGAAGGCCUUCGGGUUGUAAAGUUCUGUCGGUGACGAGGCGUUAAUCACAGAAGAAGCACCGGCUAACUCCGUGCCAGCAGCCGCGGUAAUUC
rnacentral:rRNA from 1 species